UUCUUUAUUUGGUUCUUAUGUAAUUCUUGAACAUAUGUGUGACGCCCUCGAUUCAAUCAUACACUAAUCAUACACGCAAAUGUGUACGAUCAAGAUCAAGGACUCACGGGAAGAUAUCACAACACAACUCUAGACACAAAUUAAAAUAAUACAAGCUUUAUAUUACAAGCCAGGGGCCUCGAGGGCUCGAAUACAUAAGCUCGAAAACACAAGAGUCAGCGAAAGCAACAAUAUCUGAGUACAGACAUAAGUUAAACAAGUUUGCCUUAAGAAGGCUAGCACAAAAGCAACAUUGAUCGAAAAGGCAAGGCCUCCUGCCUGAGAGCCUCCUAACUACUCCAAGUCGUCAUUGGUCUUCACGUAGUAGUAGGCAUCCUCCGGGUAGUAGUAGUCAUCAGUGGCGUCGUCUGGCUCCUGGGCUCUAUCAUAUGGUCGCAACAAUCGGGUAUGGGGGAAAAGAAGUAGCAAAGCAACCGUGAGUACUCAUCCAAAGUACUCGCAAGACUUACAUCAGAUCUAAACUAAGUAUGCAUCUGUAUCAAAGGAAUGGGUUGUAUCUGUGGACUAAACUGCAGAAUGCCAGAAGGGAAGGGGAAAGCCUAGCCUAUCGAAGACUAUCAUCUUUUGGAAACCACCAUCUUGCAGCAAUAGGAGGGAGUAGAGUAGCAUAACUUAAAGUAGCAGUAGUGUUAUCAACCUCGGCCAGAGAUCCUUUCUCGACUCCCUGCGAGAAAUCAAUCCCAGAGCCAUACUAUCCAUUUCUCAUCACCAUCCAUUUCUCAUCACAGUCCAUUUCUCAUCACAAGUAUCUAGUUCUAGUUGUAUCGAUCGGGAUACAACUCCAAGUGUCCGUUACUGUAGGACAGGCUAUCGAUAGAUGUUUUCUUCCCUGUAGGGGUGCACCAACUUACCCACCACGCUCGAUUAACUCCGGCCGAACACACUUUCCUGGGUCAUGCCUGGCCUCGGCCAAACAAUACGCCGUAACCCGACCUAGGCUUAAUAGAGAGGCUAGCAUGCCGGACUAAACCUAUGCCCCCAGGGGUCAUGGGCCAUCUCCCCGGGAACUCCUACACGUUGCGAGGGCGGCCAGUGAGCAGACCUAGCUACCUCCUAAAAAGGUAGGAGCUUACCAGUCCAACCCGGCGCGCGCCGCUCAGUCGCUGACGUCUAUUAAGCUUCGGCUGAUGUAUACGACGCAGAACGCCCAUACUAUGCCCAAAUGAUGGUUAGUGCUAUCAGGCCAAAGGCCCCUCGGAUCAAAUAUCCAAAUCGUAGUGGAUUAGGAACGCGCGGUAACGAGCAGAGACUCACGAUCGAUGUGACCCCAUCGCCCCGUCUUGAGUACUUGCGACAAGGGCUAAGAAUGCCCGACCACACCUCGUAAGUAUCACGCGGGCACCUUCCAGGUCAACCCGACUCCACAUCACUCGCUACUAAGCUCGCGCGGGUACCCUCAGGGUCGACCCGUCUUUAGUAACAUGGCUCAGUGCAAAGUCAUAGUAACCAUAGUAACUGUGUGUCUAACACCAAGGGGAAAACCCGAGGAAUCACCCCGGUGAAUCCCACUCGAUGUUAUCAUCAAGGUGAACGUAAGAGGAUCCACCCUCGAGGUUCACAUUUGAUGGGUUUCACGGCAGAGCCAUAACGGAAGUGGUUAAGGAGGAAAUCACCCUCGAUGACCUCGACCGUAUAGCUACACUACAGAGAUCUCAUCAGGAGUGAUGUAAGAGGUUCCACCCUCGGCACUCGAUGGUAACUCUACAGAGUCGUACAACUAGGGGGUGAUGUGCGGUGCGGGGCCUGGACGUCGAUCACGUUGAUCGAGUCAUUGAACAUAAAGCGGGGCAACUGGGACAAGGUGGGGGUCACUGAUGGAUCACUAUCCAACCUAUACUAAGCAGUUUAGGAUGAGCAGGUAAGGUAUGAAAGCAGGUAACAAAAACAGGCUAUGAAUCAGAGUAGGAUCAUACAGAAAGCUGUAGCAGUUCUAAUGCAAGCAUGAGAGGGAAAGAAAUGGGCGAUAUCAGAAUGCUCAAGGGAGGGGAGGGGUUGCUUGCCUAGUUGCUCUAGCAAGGAAGGGUCGUCGUCGACGUAGUCGAUCACAACGGCAUCAUCAGCGGUCUCGGGGUCUAUCGGAGAGAAGAGGGGGAAGAAACAAUAAAUACAGAGCAAACAGAGGUACCACUAAGCAUGACAAGACGAUAAGCAGAACUAGGGUCGAUCUAACGUAGUACUGCACGAUAUAGGUGAAGGGGGAAUUCACCGAGAAUGUUUGCCCGAUUCUAGACCUGUGUCAGACAGAUGACCGAAGGGGGAAAGUUCCAUGUUCAGCUAGUUAGAGGCAUCUGACAGGUAAACGAACCACGUAUUUGGAUCCGUCUCGUCGUUCUGAGCAACUUUCAUGUAGAAAACAUUUUCAUCCGAGUUACGGAUUAUUUUCUAUGAUUUUUUUAAGAUUAAACAAUAUUCUGCAAUUGCUGGAAAUUAAAUUAAAUUCGAAAAUUAUAUUAAAUGAAAAUGCUAAGUGAACCUAGUAGAGUAUACACAACAAUGCACACACAGGCUGACAUGUGGGGCCAGUGGGGUGUUGAGUCAAUAGGGUCAAUAGUCAACAUUGACUGGGUUGACCGGUCAAAUCUAAGCAGUGGGGCCCAGAUAUCAUUGGGCCAUUAUUUUAAACAUAUUGUUUAUUUUGCCUAGUUAGUGGUGGGGUCCCAUUAGUAGUGUGUUAGGUGCUGGGUUAGUGGGUUGUAAUUAGAUUAGCAUCUAAUCUAAUCCUAGCAAGGCCCAGGUGGCGAUGGCACUAGCCGGCCACUGUAUGGCUGUGCCUCACGCACGAGCGCACACAUGGGGCGCUCGCGGCCAGCGCCAGCCGCAACACUGGUGGUCGAGCAAGCAGACGGCUGGGCGAGCGGACAGCGCAAGCGUGCGUCGGGGCAAUCGGACGGCUGCGGCAUGCGGCGAGGAGCAAGGGAAAGCAGAGGCAGCAACAGGAAGUAGCGGCAGCAGCGGGAGCAGAAAGCAGUAGCGCCAGCUGUAGCAAAAAGCAGAAGCGGCAACGACAAUAGCCAGCAGCAGCGCGGGCGGGCGCGGCCAAGCCGCGGUGGAUGCACGCUCGGCGCCCAGGGGCACGGCCAGGGGCGCGCGUGAGCGAGGGCACGCGGCGGUGAGCACGACACUAGCAGACAGCAGGACGUGUACAGUACGGGUGCAGCCAUGGACGAGCUCAAGGCGGCGGCUACGGCUAUGGAUCGAAGGGAGGAAGUAGGGGAAUCGAAGGAGGGGCUCACCACGGAGCUCGUGGACGCGGUCAGGAGGUCGGGGGCGUUCGGGAGGCGGCGCAUCUGACGAUGAACUUUGGUGGCCGUGGCGAAGAAGACGGGCGAUGGCGAGCUUCCGGUGCGCCCCUACUUGAAUCGAAGCAAGCAGACGAAGGAGUUGUCCAUGCUGAAGCUCCUGGACAUCCUCCCGGGCGCCGGGGAGACCAGUGGCCACGAGGACGAUAAUGGCGCGGCAGCAACGGUUCGGGCGCGGUCUAAAUAGAGAAGAGGAGGGCGAGCGAGGGUGAUAUGGCGUGCUA
rnacentral:lncRNA from 1 species